AUAAGGGGAGGGCAAGUCUGGUGUCAGCCGCCGCGGUAAUACCAGCUCCUCGAGUGGUCGGGACGAUUAUUGGGCCUAAAGCACCCGUAGCCGGUUCCGUAAGUCCUCUGUUAAAUCCAGUCGCUCAACGACUGGUCUGCAGAGGAUACUGCGGGACUAGGAGGCGGGAGAGGCGGACGGUACUCCGCGUGUAGGGGUAAAAUCCUUUGAUCCGCGGAAGACCACCAGUGGCGAAGGCGGUCCGCCAGAACGCGCUCGACGGUGAGGGGUGAAAGCUGGGGGAGCGAACCGGAUUAGAUACCCGGGUAGUCCCAGCCGUAAACGAUGCGAGCUAGAUGAUUCGAUCGCAGUUCGCGAUCGAAGUGUCGCAGGGAAGCCGUUAAGCUCGCCGCCUGGGGAGUACGGUCGCAAGGCUGAAUCGUAGGAAGAGAGAUUUUCCUACGCAGUUCACUUAAAGGAAUA
rnacentral:rRNA from 1 species